rnacentral:miRNA from 1 species
AACCUCAUUGACCGGAAGGAAUCCCUUCUGAUUGAUGAGGUUGUUACAUCUCAUUGACCGGAAGGAAUCCCUUCCGAUCAAUGAGGUAUAACAACCUCAUCAGCUGGAAGGGAUCCCUUUUGGCCGAUGAGGCU